rfam:Arabidopsis lyrata subsp. lyrata unplaced genomic scaffold ARALYscaffold_8, whole genome shotgun sequence.
UUGAUAAUGAUGAAGCAAAAUUAAUCUAAUCCAACACUUGAUCUGAGAGAUACUUUGUGUAUCUCAAAGUGAAGUUACACCAGUUAGCUUCUGAAUCUAA